UCAGUCUCUGAAUAUAGACCCGAAACCGGGUGAUCUAGCCAUGGGCAGGUUGAAGGUUGAGUAACAUCAACUGGAGGACCGAACCGACUAAUGUUGAAAAAUUAGCGGAUGACUUGUGGCUAGGGGUGAAAGGCCAAUCAAACUCGGAGAUAGCUGGUUCUCCCCGAAAGCUAUUUAGGUAGCGCCUCGGACGAAUACUACUGGGGGUAGAGCACUGUUAAGGCUAGGGGGUCAUCCCGACUUACCAACCCUUUGCAAACUCCGAAUACCAGUAAGUACUAUCCGGGAGACACACGGCGGGUGCUAACGUCCGUCGUGGAGAGGGAAACAACCCAGACCGCCAGCUAAGGUCCCAAAGUAUUGCUAAGUGGGAAACGAUGUGGGAAGGCUCAGACAGCUAGGAUGUUGGCUUAGAAGCAGCCAUCAUUUAAAGAAAGCGUAAUAGCUCACUAGUCGAGUCGGCCUGCGCGGAAGAUGUAACGGGGCUAAGCAAUACACCGAAGCUGCGGCAAUAUCUUUUAGAUAUUGGGUAGGGGAGCGUUCUGUAAGCCGUUGAAGGUGAAUCGUAAGGUUUGCUGGAGGUAUCAGAAGUGCGAAUGCUGACAUGAGUAACGACAAAGGGGGUGAAAAACCUCCUCGCCGGAAGACCAAGGGUUCCUGUCCAACGUUAAUCGGGGCAGGGUGAGUCGACCCCUAAGGUGAGGCCGAAAGGCGUAAUCGAUGGGAAACGGGUUAAUAUUCCCGUACUUCUGACUAUUGCGAUGGGGGGACGGAGAAGGCUAGGUGGGCCAGGCGACGGUUGUCCUGGUUCAAGUGCGUAGGCUUGAGAGUUAGGUAAAUCCGGCUCUCUCUAAGGCUGAGACACGACGUCGAGC
rnacentral:rRNA from 1 species